AGAUGUGAGGGUGAUCUGGCUGUGACAUCUGUCACCCCACUGAUUGCCAGGGUUGAUUCGGCUGACCUGGCUGGGUAGGUGGGUGUCCCCUUCUUCCCUCACCGCUCCAUGUGCAUCCCUCCCGAAGCUGCACGCUCUGUCGAAGAGGACGGCCUUCCCUGAAUAGAGAUGGACCGGUGUUUGGUCAAGGGUAUAUGAGUAGCUCUGCUCCCCUGCUAGAACCUCCAAACAAGCUCUCAAGGAAAAGCUUUCUCUCUGCAGGUGGGGGCUGGAGGCUUGAACCACGGUCUUUGUGCAUUGUAAUAUGUAUACUAUGAGGUGUG
rnacentral:snRNA from 1 species